rnacentral:rRNA from 2 species
GAUAAACGCUGGCGGUGUGCCUAACACAUGCAAGUCGAGCGCCCUGGACCCUGUUUCUAAUCAUUGAUUAGCGAUAGAGUCCAGGGAGCGGCAGACGGGAGAGUAAUACGUUGAUAACUGCCCCAGAGUCAGGGAUAAGCCUUAGAAAUAGGGUCUAAUACCGGAUUGUCCCGCAAGGGUAAAGCAGCAAUGCGCUUUGGGAGGUGUCUGCGGCCUAUCAGUUAGUUGGUGAGGUAAUGGCUUACCAAGACUAUGACGGGUAGCUGGUCUGAGAGGACGAUCAGCCUCAAUGGAACUGAGAUACGGUCCAUACUCCUACGGGAGGCAGCAGUGAGGAAUUUUUCGCAAUGGGGGAAACCCUGACGAAGCAACACCGCGUGAAGGAUGAAUGGCUUUUGCUUGUAAACUUCUUUUUUGAGGGAAUAAAUAUGAAGGUACCUCAAGAAUAAGCAUCGGCUAACUACGUGCCAGCAGCCGCGGUAAGACGUAGGAUGCAAGCGUUAUCCGGAAUUAUUGGGCGUAAAGAGUUCGUAGACGAACUGUUAAGUAGAAUGUUAAAGACCAGGGCCUAACUCUGGGAAUGUGUUCUAAACUGGCAGGAUAGAGCAAUUUAGAGGCAAGUAGAAUUCUGUGUGUAGGGGUAAUAUCCGUAGAUAUACAGAGGAAUACCAAAAGCGAAGGCAGCUUGCUGGGAAUUUGCUGACGUUCAAGAACGAAAGCGUGGGGAGCAAACAGGAUUAGAUACCCUGGUAGUCCACGCCCUAAACUAUGAUCACUCGAUGUCGGGGGAUUCGACCCCUUCGGUGUCUAAGCUAACGCGAUAAGUGAUCCGCCUGGGUAGUACGAUCGCAAGAUUAAAACUCAAAGGAAUAGACGGGGACCCACACAAGCGGUGGAGCAUCUGGUUUAAUUCGACAGUAAACGAAGAACCUCACCAAGGCUUGACAUCCCGAGAAGAUUGCCGAAAGGCGAUUGUGCCGCAAGGAACUCGGUGACAGGUGCUGCAUGGUUGUCGUCAGCUCGUGCCUUGAGGUGUUCGGUUAAGUCCGUAAACGAGCGCAACCCAUGUCUUAUGUUGAAUUUUUCAUAAGAGACUGCCGGCUCCAAGUCGGAGGAAGGUAUGGAUGACGUCAAAUCAGCAUGGCCCUUAUGCCUUGGGCCACACAGGUGCUACAAUGGGAGAUACAAAGGGCUGCAACAUAGUAAUAUGAAGCCAAUCCUGAAAGUCUCUCUUAGUUCGGAUUGAGGGCUGCAAUUCGCCCUCAUGAAGCUGGAAUCGCUAGUAAACGUGAAUCAGCUAUGUCACGUUGAAUAUGUUCCUGGGUCUUGUACUCACCGCCCGUCAAGUCAUGGAAGGUUGGAGUACCCAAAGUUCCCUUAGUUUUCGAACGGGGGCCUAAGGUAAUACAACUGACUGGGACUA